AGAGAUUAAACUGAAGAGUUUGAUCCUGGCUCAGAUUGAACGCUAGCGGGAUGCCUUACACAUGCAAGUCGAACGGCAGCACGGACUUCGGUCUGGUGGCGAGUGGCGAACGGGUGAGUAAUGUAUCGGAACGUGCCUAGUAGCGGGGGAUAACUACGCGAAAGCGUAGCUAAUACCGCAUACGCCCUACGGGGGAAAGCAGGGGAUCGCAAGACCUUGCACUAUUAGAGCGGCCGAUAUCGGAUUAGCUAGUUGGUGGGGUAACGGCUCACCAAGGCGACGAUCCGUAGCUGGUUUGAGAGGACGACCAGCCACACUGGGACUGAGACACGGCCCAGACUCCUACGGGAGGCAGCAGUGGGGAAUUUUGGACAAUGGG
rnacentral:rRNA from 1 species